rnacentral:lncRNA from 1 species
GGAAAGCAAAAUGCUUUAUCAUAAUGAACCAAAUACUCAAGCCAAGGGAAUUGCUUAUACCAACUACCAUUAAAUCGACGCAUUUGAUUCCUUUCGAAGUGUGAUGGAUAUUCAUUUAAUUUUGGUUGACAUGGCCCUAACAUAAUGUAUGCUCUUCGAACAUUAUUAUGUUGAUUAGGUAGAAAUGUAUCAAUUUGAGGACGUAAUCCUGGAUCACAC